CAUGCCAACUCACCAAAUGAGGGGAGGCGCAGGGGCCGUUCUCCAUCAGCUUCACGCUCCUCCUCGGACUCCUCCUCCUCUCCGGAAUCGCCCUGGAGCCUCCCAGCUCCCAGGGGGGCUGCAACCGACACGGCCUCCCGACCGCCGGCAUCCUGGCAGCCCUGCAACCUUGGGGCUGCCGCCUGAUCCGCAGCACCCCUUGAACUGCCCGGUCCUGGGGACUACCAUCUCCUUGGGGCUGCUGUCCGGGUCACAGCACUCCUAUUUCCGGUCUCUUCAGCCGGCGCCUGCCAUCUCCUGGCGCCCGGCCUCCUAUUUCCGUUGCGGGCACCCACUUCCGGGUUUUGCCCGUCGCCGGCAGAUGAGGUCACAUCCGGCGCGCCGGCCGUGCGUGACCGGCAUCGUGAUGUCACUUCCGGCCGCGCCGGAAGAGAAGGCGGCGGGCUCCUCGACCUUCCCGCCAUGCCGCCAUCUUGGGAAUGGCCGCCGGAGGCCACCGCAACCCUCACCUGGGACCGGACCGCACGGGGGGGGGACCCAAGGCUCAGCUCCACAUCACCAGCCACACCAGUCCGCCUGCGCCUGCGGCCUUCUCGCUCUCCUCUCACCGGGCUGGGAGACAGUCGCGACGGCGGCCUUGAACGCCUGGCCCGCCGCCCCUCAUCCACUGGCCUUGCCUCUUCACCUGGGACACCGUCCAUGCCGGCCAACACCGCUGCCAACGAGCCUGCACCAUGUGCAGCCCGGUAAGCCUGCAACAGGGCCACCAAUGAUUCCUGGGAAACUUCCAUCACCCUCAGAAAUUCAGGAAAAACAGGUAAGGUGAAAUUCUGAAGAAUAAUAGUGUUCUUUUUUUUUUUUUUUUUAAAUGGGUCAGCAAAUAAGGACAGAUGAAAGUCAGGAUCCCUGCACUUCCAAAAGCUGACUGGUAAGUCCCCUCCCCUAACUGUGCUUAUAACUGUCUUCCAUAUUAGCAACUAUGUAUCCAUCUAUACCCCUCCCUUCCACUACUCCUUCAAGACUCCUUAACCUAGCCGCAGUCAUGUCCCCCCUUCCUUGUCAGUCCAGGGAGGUGUCU